rnacentral:lncRNA from 1 species
CACUGUACAGCAUGGGGACCAAGUUACUCUUACAUGUAUACAUUUUUUCCCAGCCUUUGUUCUGUUGAAAUAUAAGUACCUAGACAUAGUUCUCGAUGCUACUCAGCAGGAUCUCCAUGUAAAUCCAUUCCAAGUUGUAUCUGAUAACCCCAAGUUCCCGAUCCCUCCCACUCCCUCCCUCUCCCAUCGGGCAGCCACAAGUCUAUUCUCCAAGUCCAUGAUUUUUGUGCCAGUACCAUGCUGUCUUGAUUACUAUAGCUUUGUAGUAUAGUCAGAUGUCAGGGAGCAUGACACCUCCAGCUUUGUUCUUUUACUGAAGGUUGAUUUGGCAAUUUGUGACCUUUUUUGGUUCUACGUAAGUUUUAGGAUUUUUUGUUGUAGUUCUGUGGAAAAAUGGCAUGGUGUUUUGAUAGGAACUGCAUUACAGUUGUAGAUUGCUUUUGAUAGCCUGGAUAUUUAAACACUAUUCAUUCUUCCAAUCCAAGAACACAUGUAUCUUCCCAUUUCUUUGAAUCAUUUUCAGACUCCUUCAUGAGUGUGGUAUAGUUUUCAGAGUAUAGGUCUUUUACUUCCUUGGUUAAGUUUAUUCCUAGGUAUUUUAUUAUUUGAUACAAUUUUAAACCAGAGUGUUUUUUAAAUUUUCUCUUUAUGAUAUUUCAAUAUUGGUGUAAGAAAACUCAACAUAUUUCUGUAUAUUAAUCUUGUAUCCUGCUAACUUGCCAAAUUCACUUAUUAGUUCUAAUAAUUUCUGUGUGGAAACUUUAGGGUUCUCUAUACAGACCUUGGGUUCUCUUUAUAUAUAUUAUGUCAUCUGCAAACAGUGACAGUUUUACUUCUUCUGUUCCAAUAUGAAUGACAUUUCUUUUUCUUGUCUGGACUUCCAAUACUAUAUUAAAUAGAAGUUACAAGAGUGGGCAUCCUUGUCUUGUUCCUGAAUUUAGAGGAAAGACUUUCAGCUUUCCACCACUGAGUAUAAUAUUAGCUAUUAGUUUGUCAUAAAUGGCCUUUAUUAUAUUGAGAGAUAUUCCUUACAUAACAACAUUGAUGAGGAUUUUUAUCAUGAAUGGAAGGUGAAUUCUGUCAAAUUCUUUGUCUGCAUCCAUUGAGAUGAUCAUGUGAUUUUUAUUCUUUCUUUUGUUAAAGUAGUGUAUCACGCUGUGUGAUUUUUUUCAUUUUUUAAAGUUUUAUUGAAGUAUAGUUGAUUUACAAUGUUGUGACAAUUUCCACUGUACAACAAAGUGAUCCAGUCAUACAUGUACACACAUUCAUUCUCUUUCAGAUUCCUUUCCUACACUGAUUGAUUUUUGGAUACUGAACCGUCCUUGCACCCACAGAAUAACUCCCACUUGAUCAUGGCGUAUGAUCCUUUUACAUAUUGUUGGAUUUUGUUUGCUAAUAUUUAACUGAGCAUUUUUGCAUCUAUAUUCAUCAGAGAUAUUAGCCUGCAACUUUUUGUAUUGUGUCUUUUUCGGUUUUGGUAUCAUAGUACUGGUGGACUCAGAGAAUGAAUUUGGGUUGUUCUGUCUCCUUAAGUUUUUUGGAAUACUUUUGGGAAGGAUAAGUAUUAGUUCUUCACAUUGGUAAAUAUUCUGGUAAAAUUCUCCUGUGAAUCCAUCCAAUCCUGGACUUUUGUUUGCUGGAAGGUCUUUAAUUACUGAUUCAAUGUCAGUACUGGCAAUAGGUCUGUUCAUAUUGUUUAUUUCUUCCUGAUUCUGUCUUCACAAAGUUGUGUGUUUCUAGAAAUUUGUCUGUUUCUUCAAGGUUGUCCAAUUUGUUGGCAUAUAAUUGUUCAUAGUAUUAUUUCAUGAUUUUUCAUAUCUCUGUGGUAUUGGUUAUUCCUCCUCUUUCAUUAUUUUUUUAUUUGGAUCAUCUCUUUUUUCUUCUUGAUGAUCCUGACUGAAGGUUUAUCAAUUUUGUUUAUCUUUUCAAAAAACCAAAUCUUGGUUUCAUUGAUCUUUUCUAUUUGUUUUCUUUUAGUCUCUAUUUAUUCCUCUUUGACCUUUAUUAUUUCCUUAAUUCUGCUGACUUUGGGCUUUAUUUGCGCUUAUUUUUAUAAUUUUGCUAGAUAGGCAGGUUAGCUUGUUUGAGAUCCUUCUUGUUUCUUGAGGUAGACUUUCACAGCUAUAAAGUUCCCUCUUAGAUCUGCUUUUGCUGCAUCCCAUAGAUUUU